rnacentral:rRNA from 1 species
AUUGAACGCUGGCGGCAUGCCUUACACAUGCAAGUCGAACGGUAACGCGGGGCAACCUGGCGACGAGUGGCGAACGGGUGAGUAAUGCAUCGGAACGUGCCCAGUAGUGGGGGAUAGCCCGGCGAAAGCCGGAUUAAUACCGCAUACGACCUACGGGUGAAAGGGGGGGAUCGCAAGACCUCUCGCUAUUGGAGCGGCCGAUGUCAGAUUAGCUAGUUGGUGGGGUAAAAGCCUACCAAGGCGACGAUCUGUAGCUGGUCUGAGAGGACGACCAGCCACACUGGGACUUGGACACGGCCCAGACUCCUACGGGAGGCAGCAGUGGGGAAUUUUGGACAAUGGGCGAAAGCCUGAUCCAGCCAUGCCGCGUGCGGGAAGAAGGCCUUCGGGUUGUAAACCGCUUUUGUCAGGGAAGAAAUCUUCUGAGUUAAUACCUCGGGAGGAUGACGGUACCUGAAGAAUAAGCACCGGCUAACUACGUGCCAGCCGCCGCCGUAA